rnacentral:rRNA from 3 species
CUGACCCCAUGCCGAACUCAGAAGUGAAACGCCGUAGCGCCGAUGGUAGUGUGGGGCCUCCCCAUGCGAGAGUAGGGAACUGCCAGGC